rnacentral:lncRNA from 1 species
CCACAGUCUACUCACCAAGGCUGCACUAAAUGUCCAACCUGUCAGCAGCAUUGACUAAUGCUAAUCCCUUUGUACAGGAUCAUCUCUCAAGGACACCAACAAUCUACUUGGUGGGAUAAGUUUCCUCCAUUGGACCCCUUCUGUAUUGGAAGAAACAAAGAAUGCAUUUUGACUUGACAACACAUAUUCCGGGGCUCAAGGAAAGUUUCCUGCAAUACUAGCUGAAAUGGGUCACCAGUUUCUCCUCGUGGGAGGCAACCCAAGACUCUGAUUGCGCUGAGUAAAGCUGGUCAGCUAUUUUACAAGGAAAACACCUGGCACCGAAUCCUGGGCUCUUUAGAGAACUGCUAGCUAAGCCUCUUCCCUGGGGUAAAUUCAGCGAGAAGCGCUAGAGAUACAGGGAAAGCUACAAGAGUCGUGGGUCAUGGAAGCCAUGGAAAUAGAAUUUCAAGAAGGAAGAAGUGAUUUACAGUAUCAAAUACCACCCAUAAGAGAAGGACUUUAAAAUGACCAAAUUUCACAGUCAGACCAAUUGUUAGACUUAAUAGGAACAAUUUCAGUAGAGUGGUGGAGAUGAAAGACAAAUUAAACUGCAUUUUAAAAAAUAAAUGAGAGAGCAAUGAAUUUCAACCUGCAGUAAUGAUGUUUGAGAAGGAUGACUGGAAGCUUGUCAGGACCUGGAACGUCACAAAUCCUCCAACUGGUAAAACUGAGGCAAGAAUUUGAUUCUUACAUUGCACUCUUCGUCUCUCUGAAGACGCAAGUUUCUAUGCAGUAUCAUAGUCCUUCUUCUGAAGACAUUCCCUUAAUACUUCCUGUAAUACAGUUAUCCUGGAAAUAAAUUCAGU